CUAGUCCUGAAGAAGGUUAGAUCACAUGCUGCCUGGGUUCUAGUCCUGAAGAAGGUUAGAUCACAUGCUGCCUGGGUUCUAGUCCUGAAUAGGGUUAGAUUACAUGCUGCCUGGGUUCUAGUCCUGAAUAGGGUUAGAUUACAUGCUGCCUGGGUUCUAGUCCUGAAGAAGGUUAGAUCACAUGCUGCCUGGGUUCUAGUCCUGAAGAAGGUUAGAUCACAUGCUGCCUGGGUUCUAGUCCUGAAGAAGGUUAGAUCACAUGCUGCCUGGGUUCUAGUCCUGAAGAAGGUUAGAUCACAUGCUGCCUGGGUUCUAGUCCUGAAGAAGGUUAGAUCACAUGCUGCCUGGGUUCUAGUCCUGAAGAAGGUUAGAUUACAUGCUGCCUGGGUUCUAGUCCUGAAUAGGGUUAGAUUACAUGCUGCCUGGGUUCUAGUCCUGAAUAGGGUUAGAUUACAUGCUGCCUGGGUUCUAGUCCAGAGACUCGUUGACUUCCUUCUAUUGUGUUUUAUUUUUGUAAUUUUUGCAUUAAAAAAACGAAUGGUGUUUAACUAACAUGUUAAAUCUUACAACCUGCUGUACAGACGUCCAUAUCACAGACAUACUGUAGCUACACAAUACAGACGUACAGGGCCUUCAGAGAGUAUUCAUACCCCUUGACUUAUUCCACAUUUGGUUGUUUUACAGCCUGAAUUCAAAAUGGAUUU
ensembl:lncRNA